UACGUAGGGUGCGAACGUUAAUCGGAAUCACUGGGCGUAAAGCGCGCGUAGGCGGUUCGUUAAGUGGGAUGUGAAAUCCCCGGGCUUAACCUGGGAAUUGCAUUUCAAACUGGCCGACUAGAGUACGGUAGAGGGAGGUAGAAUUUCCUGUGUAGCGGUGAAAUGCGUAGAUAUAGGAAGGAAUACCAGUGGCGAAGGCGGCCUCCUGGAUCGAUACUGACGCUGAGGCGCGAAAGCGUGGGGAGCAAACAGG
rnacentral:rRNA from 1 species